CACGUAGGCGGAUCUUUAAGUCAGAGGUGAAAUCCCAAGGCUCAACCUUGGAACUGCCUUUGAUACUGGGGAUCUCGAGUCCGGAAGAGGUGAGUGGAACUCCGAGUGUAGAGGUGAAAUUCGUAGAUAUUCGGAAGAACACCAGUGGCGAAGGCGGCUCACUGGUCCGGUACUGACGCUGAGGUGCGAAAGCGUGGGGAGCAAACA
rnacentral:rRNA from 1 species